rnacentral:piRNA from 1 species
UGUGCAGAGAAAUUAAAGAAGUUUACUUUUU